rnacentral:rRNA from 1 species
GAUGAACGCUAGCGGCAGGCCUAAUACAUGCAAGCCGAACGGCAAGUUUGAUAGCAAUAUUGGACCUAGAGUGGCGCAAGGGUGCGUAACACGUAUGCAACCUGCCCGCGACAGGAGGAUAGCUCCCCGAAAGGGGAAUUAACCCUCCAUAACACCAUGAGAAGGCAUCUGAUUAUGGUUAAACCGCAAGGGGUCGCGGAUGGGCAUGCGGUUGAUUAGCUAGUUGGCGGGGUAAAGGCCCACCAAGGCGGUGAUCAAUAGGGGUUCUGAGAGGAAGGUCCCCCACACUGGCACUGGGAUACGGGCCAGACUCCUACGGGAGGCAGCAGUAGGGGAUAUUGGACAAUGGUUGCAAGACUGAUCCAGCCAUGCCGCGUGCAGGAAGAAGGCCUUCUGGGUCGUAAACUGCUUUUUCCUGUGGAUAAAAUACCCGUGCGCGGGGAAUUGAAGGUAACAGGGGAAUAAGCCACGGCUAACUACGU